rnacentral:rRNA from 1 species
GGCUUCAAGCGUUGUCCGGAUUUAUUGGGCGUAAAGAGUUCGUAGGCGGUCAAGUAAGUCGGGUGUGAAAAUCUGGGGCUUAACCCCAGACCUGCAUUCGAUACGGGCGAGCUAGAGUGUGGUAGGGGAGACUGGAAUUCCUGGUGUAGCGGUGGAAUGCGCAGAUAUCAGGAGGGACACCAAUGGCAAAGGCAGGUCUCUGGGCCAUUACUGACACUGAGGAGCGAAAGCGUGGGGAGCGAACAGGAUUAGAUACCCUGGUAGUCCACGCCGUAAACGGUGGGCACUAGUUGUGGGAACCUUCCACGGUUUCUGCGACGCAGCUAACGCAUUAAGUGCCCCGCCUGGGGAGUACGAUCGCAAGAUUAAAACUCAAAGGAAUUGACGGGGCCCCGCACAAGCAGCGGAGCAUGCGGCUUAA